AGUGAAUAAAUAAUCCACAAUUAAAACCAUUAAGACUAGUACUACUUAAAAAUAAUGGCAACAUUUUUCAAAAUAAUGUGGCUAAUAUGGAUUCUCAGUUUGACCACAGCGCAAGCUCAAACCCGUGUGUGCCAAAGAAUAGCAAUUAAUGCCCGUGCUGGUCAAAGACUUUGCGAGCGCCAAUGCCCUCCAAACCGUUUGCGUUUCUUAUGCGCCACUGUACGUAUAGUGCAAACAAUAAGGUUAUGCCCACCAAGUUGUUGUCGCAUCGGCGACGGUUGUCGUACAUUUUAAUGAUUACAUUUCCGGAAAUAUACUGUUAAUAAGCAAAUUGUAAGAAGGUUGUAAAAUUAAGAUACCUUCGUAUCUAUAGAAAGAAUUUAAAUACAAUAAUUGAUAAAAAGAAA